rnacentral:rRNA from 1 species
AUUGAACGCUGGCGGCAGGCCUAACACAUGCAAGUCGAGCGGAUGAAGGGAGCUUGCUCCUGGAUUCAGCGGCGGACGGGUGAGUAAUGCCUAGGAAUCUGCCUGGUAGUGGGGGAUAAUGUCCGGAAACGGGCGCUGAUACCGCAUACGUCCUGAGGGAGAAAGUGGGGGAUCUUCGGACCUCACGCUAUCAGAUGAGCCUAGGUCGGAUUAGCUAGUUGGUGGGGUAAAGGCCUACCAAGGCGACGAUCCGUAACUGGUCUGAGAGGAUGAUCAGUCACACUGGAACUGAGACACGGUCCAGACUCCUACGGGAGGCAGCAGUGGGGAAUAUUGGACAAUGGGCGAAAGCCUGAUCCAGCCAUGCCGCGUGUGUGAAGAAGGUCUUCGGAUUGUAAAGCACUUUAAGUUGGGAGGAAGGGCAGUAAGUUAAUACCUUGCUGUUUUGACGUUACCAACAGAAUAAGCACCGGCUAACUUCGUG